rnacentral:rRNA from 1 species
UACGUAGGGGCCUAGCGUUGUCCGGAAUUAUUGGGCGUAAAGAGCUCGUAGGCGGUUCGGCAAGUCGGAUGUGAAAUCUCCACGCUUAACGUGGAGGGGCCAUUCGAAACUGCUGUGACUCGAGUCCGGUAGGGGAGUGUGGAAUUCCCGGUGUAGCGGUGAAAUGCGCAGAUAUCGGGAGGAACACCAGUAGCGAAGGCGGGUCUCUGGGCCGUAACUGACGCUGACGGAGCG